rnacentral:tRNA from 1 species
GGCCCCGUAGCUCAGUGGAUAGAGCGCGUGCCUCCGGAGCACGAGGUCACAGGUUCGAAUCCUGUCGGGGUCGCCA